UACCAGCACCCCGAGUGGUCGGGACGAUUAUUGGGCCUAAAGCAUCCGUAGCCGGUUCUACAAGUCUUCCGUUAAAUCCACCUGCUUAACAGAUGGGCUGCGGAGGAUACUAUGGAGCUAGGAGGCGGGAGAGGCAAGCGGUACUUAGUGGGUAGGGGUAAAAUCCGUUGAUCCAUUGAAGACCACCAGUGGCGAAGGCGGCUUGCCAGAACGCACUCGACGGUGAGGGAUGAAAGCCAGGGGAGCAAACGGG
rnacentral:rRNA from 1 species